rnacentral:rRNA from 1 species
UACGUAGGGUCCGAGCGUUUGUCCGGAAUUAUUGGGCGUAAAGGGCUCGUAGGCGGUUUGUCGCGUCGGCUGUGAAAACCUGGGGCUCAACCCCGGGCCUGCAGCCGAUACGGGCAAACUAGAAUUCGGUAGGGGAGACUGGAAUUCCUGGUGUAGCGGUGAAAUGCGCAGAUAUCAGGAGGAACACCGGUGGCGAAGGCGGGUCUCUGGGCCGAUAUUGACGCUGAGGAGCGAAAGCGUGGGGAGCGAACAGG